rnacentral:tRNA from 1 species
UGCGGGAUCGUCUAAUGGUAGGACGCCGGAUUCUGGUUCCGGAAGUUGGGGUUCGAGUCCCUGUCCCGCAGCUA